rnacentral:lncRNA from 1 species
AUGACUGCAUGGAAUGGAUACAAAUACAAGGCAAAAGUUACUGCUGCAGUCGUCUCCAUACAAGUAUAUUUGCCUGAUAAAAGACGAGAAAAUCAUUUUAAAAACUCACGAUGUCUGCACCUGAAAGAGACCCUCUCCCGACAAAGCUAAGUGCAAAGUUGCACUCGAACAUUAUCUCCAUUCACAUGAAUAUAUAUUCCUAUAAACAGUAAUGCAACAUUAAAUCAGUGAUAACUUUUGCUUGUCUUUUCUUGUGAAUUUGUGAACAUGUGCAUUCAAAAGACCAGAGCAUACGUAACACCUACCUCUCCGCAUCACGCUCUGAGCAAACUGAGGAGUAAGAGCAUGGCUCCCGUUGAUGACAUAACAGCAUUAAAAUAAUUCACUCUUGAAAGUAAUGUAAUACAUCUUAAAAUAACAAUUUAAAAUAAGAGGGAUUUUCGGUGAAAUACAAAGUAUAUUUUUACAGCUGUUACAUUCACCAAAAUCCUGAAUGCAUAUCAAUCAAGAUAUGGAGCACAAGGGACAACAAACUCUACUGAGUCACUACUGGCACAAGUGAACACAAACAUCUCAUCUUUGGUCUCUGCUAUACAAUCUAUCUGCAGGCAGAUUCAGAGGAAUCUAAGGUUGAUCAGGCCUGAGAUCCUCCUAGACAAAUACAAUGUCAAGUACAUCAUACAACACUCGUCCUCACAUUAACCCUUGACACCAUUCUACACAUCACUUAGAUGGCUUUACAUAUCCAUGAAUAUUCCUCAGAACAGAAGAAAUAAAGAAAACCCUAAGGAUAGGGGGCAGUAUUAAAGUAAAACACUCUAAAGUUUCUAAAACCGUUUGAAUUAUGUCUGUGAGUAUAACAGAACUCACAGGGCAGGCAAUCUUGCAAACUAGUUUUGAAAUCCUGAAAGUUGGGGCAACUUUGACGUCAUCACCCCCUCCCUUCCCAACAAGUUAUGGAUCUGGAAACACUUCCUAUGUCUUCCACUAGAUGUCCUCAUUCAGUAGAACGUGUAAUGGAGCAUUUGCUGGGAACUUUGAAAUAAUGGGAAGGAAAGUGCUAGAGUGUCGCAAAAGAUUCAUGUGCUUGAAGGCGCGUAUACGUUGGAGUGCUUCGUCUGUUCCAAUCAGCCCCAGAUGAACUAGGAUGGCCCAGUUGGAAUGCUAUUCGAUUUGUAUGAUUAUAACAUCCUGAAGAUUGAUUCUGCACUUAGUUUGACCAGUUUCGUCGACCUGUAAUAUGUAAUUUGGAAGUUUUGAUGCAAAAUUAUCCUGGACCAGAAGUCAUUUUUGGGGCAUUUGAGCUGAAAGUGGUAGCAAAUGCUGCUACAUGGACACUAGAAUUUAACAUUAUGAAACAAAAUGAUGUAUUGUUGAACUAGGACUCCUUGCACUGCAUUCUGAUGAAAGAUCAUCAAAGGUAAGGGAAUAUUUAUGUUGUAAUUUUGUAUUUCUGUUGACUCCAACAUAGCGGAGAAAUAUUGUUACGUCUGAGCGCCGUCUCAGAUUAUUGUUAGGCUUUUUCCGUAACGUUAAAAAAGAAUGUGACACAGCGGUUGCAUUAACCUGUUGCGCCGAGCAAACCCGUAUCCGGGAGCGUAAUUAUAGCCUCAAGCUCAUUACCAUAACGCAACGUUAACUAUUCAUGAAAAUCGC